rnacentral:rRNA from 1 species
UACGGGGGGGGGCAAGCGUUGUUCGGAAUUACUGGGCGUAAAGGGCGCGUAGGCGGUUCGCUAAGUUGAAUGUGAAAACUCUGGGCUUAACCCAGAGCCUGCAUUCAAUACUGGCGGGCUAGAGUUCUGGAGGGGAUAGCGGAAUUCCUGGUGUAGCGGUGAAAUGCGUAGAUAUCAGGAGGAACACCGGUGGCGAAGGCGGCUAUCUGGGACGGUACUGACGCUGAGACGCGAAAGCGUGGGGAGCGAACAGG